GAAACAUGUGUGAGCCUCCUUUGGGACAUGUCGAACUGGACGGGACUAGGGGAAACACAUCUCUGUGAGGAAGGCACAUCCCACAUACCAAGGAGACCUUCAGAGCAGCUGGCUGUGUGCUCAGGGCUUACUAACGGAAACACCAUGAUGAAUGUAAUAUUCUUCCUGUUGCUCCUGCGCUGUCAUGUUGUAACUACAGUGACACACUCGCUGCAAUAUCUUGGCACUGCGUCGUCAUCAAUCCAAGACUUUCCAGAGUUUGUGGCCACCGUGGAGGUCGAUGGAGUCCAAGUUGUAUACUGUGACAGCAACACGAAGACAGCAAAGGCCUCACACGACUUGGCCAAAGAAGUCAUGGAGAUCAAUCCACAUUACCUGAAGAUGUAUACUCAAGAUUGCAUUGCUUUGUCACAAAUCUUCAAAGCCAAGAUUCACAAGAUAAAGGAAGUCUUCAAACAAACAGAAGGUGUCCACAUUCUUCAGCAAUUUAAACGCUGUGAGUGGGAUGACGUCACUAGAAAGGCUGUUGGUUUUUACUGGUAUGGUUAUGAUGGAGAGGACUUCACAACAUUGGACCUGCAGAUGUUGAGAUGGGUUUGUCCAAAGCACAACAUAUCUGUCAGCCAACUUGGAUGGGAAACUAAUAAAGCUACAAUAAAACAUAUUGUUAAUGGCUUCACAGCCAGAUGCUCCAGGUUGCUGGAAACGUUUGUGCAACAUGCAGCGCUCUUUCUGCAGAGAAUAGACCUCCCCUCAGUGUCUCUCCUCCAGAAGUCUCCCUCCUCUCCAGUCACCUGCCACGCUACAGGUUUCUACCCUGACGGAGCCGUGAUGUUCUGGAGGAAAGAUGGAGAGAAGCUUUUUGAGGACGUGGACCACGGAGAGAUCCUCCCCAACAAUGAUGGAAGCUUCCAGAUCAGUGAGAAACUGAACAUUACCUCAGUGAAACCUGAAGACUGGAGGAGGUACGAAUGUGUGUUUCGGCUCUCCGUUGUUAAGGACGAUAUCGUCACCAAACUGGAGGAAGCAGCGAUCAGAAGCAACAAAGGUUCUGGGUUUCCUACCGGUCCGGUCACUGGAGUCAUUGUAGGACUGCUGCUCCUGUCAGUCAGCAUCGCUGGACUUCUAAUCUGGAGGAAGAACAAACAUGGGUUCCAGCUCGCUAACGGGGGGGCAAGAUCAUCAGAUGAGGAAGCUGAACUCCAGAGAGUGAGGAGCAAAGAACAGCAGAUUUAAACACUAACACAAUAACAUGUCUUCCCAUUAGAGCUGGAGCACUAAUACUGCACGUUACCUUUAGCUUAGCAUCAGGUAUCUUUGUAGAACUGUUGACUGUUGUGAUAUCUCCAUGUUACGUUGUUUGUCAUUUUCUAUGCACUCAAAAAAAGGAAUGAGGUGAGUUAUGUAUUCUGUCUGUCAAAGCACUUUGUUAACCCUUGUUUUAAAGUUGUUAUGUAAAUAAAGUAAUAUUGUUGAUUAUGAACUGCCAGUUAACUGAAGUAACAUGUUAAGAUGAUUUCUUAAAGACUUUUAAUGACAAAUAAAUGUAUUAAAGUCAA